rnacentral:rRNA from 1 species
UCGGGAAUAUUGCGCAAUGGAGGAAACUCUGACGCAGUGACGCCGCGUGCAGGAAGAAGGUUUUCGGAUUGUAAACUGCUUUAGACAGGGAAGAAACAAGACAGUACCUGUAGAAUAAGCUCCGGCUAACUACGUGCCAGCAGCCGCGGUAAUACGUAGGGAGCAAGCGUUAUCCGGAUUUAUUGGGUGUAAAGGGUGCGUGGACGGGAAGACAAGUUGGUUGUGAAAUCCCUCGGCUUAACUGAGGAACUGCAACCAAAACUAUCUUUCUUGAGUGCUGGAGAGGAAAGUGGAAUUCCUAGUGUAGCGGUGAAAUGCGUAGAUAUUAGGAGGAACACCAGUGGCGAAGGCGACUUUCUGGACAGUAACUGACGUUGAGGCACGAAAGUGUGGGGAGCAAACAGGAUUAGAUACC